rnacentral:rRNA from 1 species
AGCGAACGCUGGCGGCAGGCCUAACACAUGCAAGUCGAACGAACUCUUCGGAGUUAGUGGCGGACGGGUGAGUAACACGUGGGAACGUGCCUUUAGGUUCGGAAUAACUCAGGGAAACUUGUGCUAAUACCGAAUGUGCCCUUCGGGGAAAGAUUUAUCGCCUUUAGAGCGGCCCGCGUCUGAUUAGCUAGUUGGUGAGGUAAAGGCUCACCAAGGCUACGAUCAGUAGCUGGUCUGAGAGGAUGACCAGCCACAUUGGGUCUGAGACACGGCCCAAACUCCUACGGGAGGCAGCAGUGGGGAAUCUUGCGCAAUGGGCGAAAGCCUGACGCAGCCAUGCCGCGUGGAUGAUGAAGGUCUUAGGAUUGUAAAAUCCUUUCACCGGUGAAGAUAAUGACUGUAGCCGGAAAGAAGACCCGGCUAACUUCGUGCCAGCAGCCGCGGUAAU